UAGAUUGAAGCUCGCUGGAUUGAGCGUUUAGCUGUUAACUAAAAGGUUGUGGGAUAAAUGCCUUCCAAUCUAA
rnacentral:tRNA from 1 species